rnacentral:lncRNA from 1 species
UUGUCGAGAACACAACAUUGGAAUAUUCUCUUGUGGCUCAAAUUUGCAGUAACAUGGGUUUAGACUUUACUUGACGAUAGAUUCAUUCUUAGUAAAUGCAAGUCAGCUUCUAUCAUGCUAGUCGAAUUGAGAAAGUUACUUUUGUGCCAUCAUUCAUAUAUACACUAAUUGAAUGAUGGAGAUUUGAGACCCAUAUGUUUCAUCUCUCAUGCGACGUAUCAAUAAUAACACUAAAAGAUAUAAGAUUGUUGACUAGUGGACAAACAUCUUAUAAUGGGAAGUUUUUAGUACAAUUUAAGGCAGAUCCUUUAUCCGGCAUUUGGAACAGACAUUGACCUUUAGUUCAAUUUCCAAGGGCUUCAAAUUAAGUUAAAAUGGUUGAUGACCCUCAAGCAUCUCCCACAGAAUCUACACCCGGUGAUAUUGACUGUAAAUAGGCCAAUUUGCCCAGGCCCGAAGAAGAACCCAAAAUACAAAAUAAUAAACAAAAAAUUAACAGUCCAUUAAAAUGUCCCAAUUACAUGACCCAAUAACUAUACCCUAGCCCAAACCCAUUUCUUAGACCCAAAACCUAAUACAUCAAGCCCAAUAAUACAGCCCAAAAACAAAGAUCAAGGCAGAAACCUUAGCUAGGACAUUGCGCCGCAGCCAAGAACCGGACAACGCCUCCAUACCCUCCAGCGACCACGUCCGCGCCUCCGUACGCCCCACGCCAAGCGCCAGCGCAUCCCGUACCUGCAACAAAAAGGACGAACGCACAGCAAGAAAGAAACAAAAACAAAGAAUAUUGUAUUUUUCAUUAUUUAUUUUCUAUCAUUUUAUUUCUCCGGCUAUAAAGCCAAAGGAUCUGUUCAUUGUAAUCUUUUACGCAAUAUACACACGCAUAUUUCACACACGAACAGACACAAUACAAUCACAUGAAAAACGCAAUAGAAAGCAUUCGAAUAGAAAAUUUUAAAAAGGUGAUUUCCUUUUUAGUUUUGUUUUCCGAUUUAGUUCUCAUUAUCUUCUUGCUUUUUUAUUCGGGGUAUAAAAGAAAUAAAGAAAAGAGGCUUACCUCCAUUUCAGUUCCCUCGAAUCCUCUCUUACUUCGUCGUAAUCGAAGUUUGGGGCGAGGAUUCUAAGGCUUUCGAACGGAACCUUAGACUCACGGUUGGACGGGGCCGGAUUAGGCCUUUUGUGUGAUAAUCGAUGACCAAACAUGAAGGUCGGAGGGCAGUCGGAGGGGGUCUCUGGGUUCGGCCGAAUGAGAGGGAGAAAGGGAGUGUUUUUGGUUCGGCUGAGUGCCUUUUCAAAUGGCUAAGGGUUAGAUUAGGGUUUCUUAAUCUUUGUUUAUAUGUGAUGUAUGAAACGACGUCGUUUUAAGCCAAUCUCAAUGGCUACAAAAUGACACCGUUCCAUGAGCUGUGACCCGAUGACCCGGCCAUGCCCGGACAGGAU